GACGAACGCUGGCGGCGUGCUUAACACAUGCAAGUCGAACGGAAAGGCCCUGCUUUUGUGGGGUGCUCGAGUGGCGAACGGGUGAGUAAAACGUGAGUAACCUGCACUUGACUUUGGGAUAACUUCAGGAAACUGGGGCUAAUACCGGAUAGGAGCUCCUGCAGCAUGGUGGGGGUUGGAAAGUUUCGGCGGUUGGGGCUGGACUCGCGGCUUAUCCGCUUGUUGGUGGGGUAGUGGCUUACCAAGGCUUUGACGGGUAGCCGGCCUGAGAGGGUGACCGGCCACAUGGGGACUGAGAGACGGCCCAGACUCCUACGGGAGGCAGCAGUGGGGAAUAUUGCACAAUGGGCGGACGCCUGAUGCAGCAACGCCGCGUGCGGGAUGACGGCCUUCGGGUGGUAAACCGCUUUCGCCGGUGACGAGGCGUGAGUGACGGUAAUGGGUAAAGAAGCACCGGCUAACUACGUG
rnacentral:rRNA from 1 species